rnacentral:rRNA from 1 species
AGAGGGGGAUGCAAGCGUUAUCCGGAAUCACUGGGCGUAAAGCGUCUGUAGGUGGUGAUGCAAGUCACUGGUGCAAAACUCCGGCUCAACCGGAGGAAAGCCAGUGAAACUGCAUGACUAGAGUGUGGGAGAGGUAGAAGGAAUUCCCUGAGUAGCGGUGAAAUGCGUAGAUACAGGGAAGAACACCGGAGGCGAAAGCGUUCUACUGGAACACAACUGACACUGAGAGACGAAAGCUAGGGGAGAGAAUGGG